AAAUACACACAAUGACCAUGAUAAUCGUUAGGCAAAUAUAAAAAAAAUAACAAAAAAAGGAAAAAAUUCUGCAACAACCGCAAAAUCAAAAAACAAGGAGAGAGUGAAAAAAAUAUAAUCACAGAUACGAAAAGAUCGUCUUCUCAAUCGGAAUAAGAAAUAUAUAACUGAUCAUGAGAUUCAAGAAAGGGACUAAGGUUGAAGUGCUAAGCAAAGCUGAGGUGCCUUCUGGCUCCUGGCUAUAUGCAGAGAUCAUCAGUCGUAAUGGACGCCAUUACAAUGUUAGAUAUGAUGGAUAUCAAAGUGCUACUGGUGAGGAAAUCGUGGAGCGAGUAUCCAGGAAAUCCAUAAGGCCGUGUCCGCCUCCACUUGAACUCGUGGUGAAUUGGAUUCCAGGUGAUAUUGUAGAAGUCUACCAGAAUUUCUCUUGGAAGAUGGCCUCAGUUUUGAAGGUUUUGGGGGAAAAGUACCUUUCUGUUAGGCUACUUGGAUCUUCUUUGGAAUUUCAAGUGAGCAAAUUUGACAUCCGGCUGAGACAGUCGUGGCAAGAUGACAAGUGGUUUGUGGUUGGAAAGGUUUCUGCUAGCUGUGAGAAUGGACAACGUUUUGGUGCUCCACUUCAGAAGAUAGCUACAAAGACAAAAAUGUCAGUUUCCAAUUACUAUUCCAAUUAUUAUCAACCUGAACAUAAAGAACUGGAUAUUCUGGAAUCCCGUCUUGUUUCUUUUAAAACAUUGAAACGAGGACGCCAUUCACAAGUUGAGGCAUAUGCUGAACCUCCGCCAAAGGUAAGAACAAUUGAGAAUGAAGGCAGAUGUUACAGAGCAAGAGUUAGAAACUCACCCACGCCACUUAAACAUUUACAUAAUGUGAGUUUUCCAAGAGAUGUGCUAGCUGAAGAAUGUAUGCUUGCUUCUGUAUACAACAGAAAAACUUGGAUUUCUGAUAUAGACAUAGAGAGGAGGAAACAAACUGCUGCUGUGGGUUGUUCAUGUGGAGACAACUAUCAAUCAAAAUUUGCUGAUAGCGUUACAUGCUCUGUUGGUAGUUGUAGUAUCAACAGCAUGAACUCCUAUAAAUUGCAAUUUCCAGUAUCUGCAGAUCCAUUUGAAGUAGAGAGUCCAUAUAGUGAUGCUGAAUCUGCCUGCUAUAGGGGAUAUGCGGAAGGGACUUGUUUCUCUCCUACACAAGAAAAAUUGGCUGCAGAAAUUCAUAGGGCUGAAUUUGAGGCACAUAGAUGUUGCUUCCAGAUAGAUGUCUACAGAUGAUAUUGGUGCUUUCCACCUUUCUCUUGAUCUAGACAAGGGAUGAUAUUUCUAUUAUGGCUCUUGAUAUGCCAACACUUUCAUAGGAUUGUGGAGUUCUUACAUUCUUUCAUUUCAGGCCUCAUGUGAGCCUCAGGUUUCUGUUUUCUGGAAGGAUGCAUGCUCAGAGUCUUGUGGCUACCAUGGGGUGACCUUUUAUCUUACACAUGAAAGUUGUCAUUGGUCUGCUGCUGCCUGAUAGUGCAUUACUGCUCAGCAAUGAUCAAGUAGCAUAAGGUCCAAAUGGGUCUUGGAAGAACAUGGCCACAUUAAAGCCAGAAUGACACAAGGUAAGGUUAUGUAGGCAUACCCUAAGUAGUGAUUAUUUAGAGAGAGCAUGUGCUUUUAAAGAAUAUAUUCCUCAGUUGACCAAUUCUGAGAAACAUGCAUAUUUGACUACAUAGACUUUAUACUCUUUAUUGGCAUAUCAACUUUUGAUGCUAGUUUUUCAUAAUGCAAAAUUUGCACAAAUGCGAUGAUACAAUACUUAAAAUUUAAAAUAUGUUUCCCGAUGUUCUUGUGGUUGACAAUUAUAUUCGACGCUGAUGUUGAGGCUAACUGCCAGUUUUUAUAAACUCUGAAUAUGUUAUAACUUGUUCUUGCAUGGAUGUAUACAUACCACAUAUAAAACAUCAAAAACUGCAUGCAAAUGUCCAGCACUUUGGAGGACACUAUGCUAUUUGGCUCCAUCCACUGUAAUUGUCUCCAAACAAAAAACCAUGUUCCAUUGCAUGAGAAAUCUGAUACCAUCUGGAAGAGAAGAAAUCCAGUCAUGACCGGCCAAGCCAAGUGUAUCAAGCCCAUGAAAUCUUUUUGUAGCCCAGAUGGACUUUCGGGCCCAAAGCCUUCUAUCUGACAUUACUUGAAUUUCGCUAUUAUAUUAUUCUGUUUCAAACAAAACGAAAUUUUCGACUGAAUUAUUGAUACAAUAGCUUCAUAUUUGGAAGUUUUA